rnacentral:rRNA from 1 species
GAGUACUUCGACAAGCUGUUCAAUGGGGAGAAUGAGAGUUCUACCAUUGAACUGAAUGACUCCUUUGAUGAGACCAGCAUGCGUUUUGUGCGGCGCAUCCAGGAGUCUGAGGUGAAGGAGGCUUUAAAAAGGAUGAAAGGAGGCAAGGCGAUGGGCCCUGAUUGUAUCCCCAUUGAGGUGUGGAAAGGUCUCGGGGACAUAGCGAUAGUAUGGCUAACCAAGCUUUUCAACCUCAUUUUUCAGGCAAACAAGAUGCCAGAAGAAUGGAGACGGAGUAUAUUAGUACCAAUCUUCAAGAACAAGGGGGAUGUUCAGAGUUGUACUAAUUACCGUGGAAUUAAGCUGAUGAGCCAUACAAUGAAGCUAUGGGAGAGAGUCAUUGAGCACCGCUUAAGAAGAAUGACAAGCGUGACCAAAAAUCAGUUUGGUUUCAUGCAUGGGAGGUCGACCAUGGAAGCCAUUUUCUUGGUACGACAACUUAUGGAGAGAUAUAGGGAGCAUAAGAAGGACUUGCAUAUGGUGUUCAUUGACUUGGAGAAGGCCUAUGAUAAGAUACCGCGGAAUGUCAUGUGGUGGGCCUUGGAGAAACACAAAGUCCCAGCAAAGUACAUUACCCUCAUCAAGGACAUGUACAAUAAUGUUGUGACAAGUGUUCGAACAAGUGAUGUCGACACCGAUGACUUCCCGAUUAAGAUAGGACUGCAUCAGGGGUCAGCUUUGAGCCCUUAUCUUUUUGCAUUGGUGAUGGAUGAGGUCACAAGGGGUAUACAAGGAGAUAUCCCAUGGUGUAUGCUCUUUGCGGAUGAUGUGGUGCUAGUUGACGAUAGUCGGACGGGGGUAAAUAGGAAGUUAGAGUUAUGGAGACAAACCUUGGAAUCGAAAGGGUUUAGGAUUAGUAGAACUAAAACCGAGUACAUGAUGUGCGGUUUCAGUACUACUAGCUGUGAGGAGGAGGAGGUUAGCCUUGAUGGCCAGGUGGUACCUCGGAAGGACACCUUUCGGUAUUUGGGGUCAAUGUUGCAGGAGGAUGGGGGUAUUGAUGAAGAUGUGAACCAUCGAAUCAAAGCCGGAUGGAUGAAGUGGCGCCAAGCUUCUAGCAUUCUCUAUGACAAGAGAGUGCCACAAAAGCUAAAAGGCAAGUUCUACAGGACGGCGGUUCGACCCGCAAUGUUGUAUGGCGCGGAGUGUUGGCCGACUAAAAGGCGACAUGUUCAACAGUCAGGUGUGGCGGAGAUGCGUAUGUUGAGAUGGAUGUGUGGCCACACAAGGAAGGAUCGAGUCCGGAAUGAUGAUAUACGAGAUAGAGUUGGGGUAGCACCAAUUGAGGAGAAGCUUGUCCAACAUUGUUUGAGAUGGUUUGGGCAUAUUCAGCGCAGGCCUCCAGAAGCUCCAGUGCAUAGCGGCCGGCUAAAGCGUGCGGAGAAUGUCAAGAGAGGGCGGGGUCGACCGAUUUUGACAUGGGAGGAGUCCGUUAAGAGAGACCUGAAGGAUUGGAGUAUCGACAAAGAGCUAGCUAUGGACAGGGGUGCGUGGAAGCUUGCUAUCCAUGUG